rnacentral:rRNA from 1 species
GACGAACGCUGGCGGCGUGCCUAAUACAUGCAAGUAGAACGCUGAAGGCGGAGCUUGCUUCUCUGGAUGAGUUGCGAACGGGUGAGUAACGCGUAGGUAACCUGCCUGGUAGCGGGGGAUAACUAUUGGAAACGAUAGCUAAUACCGCAUAAGAGUAGAUGUUGCAUGACAUUUGCUUAAAAGGUUCAAUUGCUUCACUACCAGAUGGACCUGCGUUGUAUUAGCUAGUUGGUGGGGUAACGGCUUACCAAGGCGACGAUACAUAGCCGACCUGCGAGGGUGAGUAGCCAGCCUGGGACUGAGACACGGCACAGUGGGCUUGAGGAGGCGCCCGGACGGAAUCGUGAGGCAUGGGUGGAAGUCUGAGCAAGAAACGCCGAGUGAGGGAAGAAGGAUGUCGGGUCGGGAAGGUCUGGUGUAAGGGAAGAAAGAGUGUGAGAGUGGAAAGUUCACACAGUGACGGUAUCUGAUCAGAAAGGGACGGCUAACUACGUG